UGGGGAAUUUUGGACAAUGGGGGAAACCCUGAUCCAGCCAUCCCGCGUGUGCGAUGAAGGCCUUCGGGUUGUAAAGCACUUUUGGCAGGAAAGAAACGUCAUGGGUUAAUACCCCGUGAAACUGACGGUACCUGCAGAAUAAGCACCGGCUAACUACGUGCCAGCAGCCGCGGUAAUACGUAGGGUGCAAGCGUUAAUCGGAAUUACUGGGUGUAAAGCGUGCGCAGGCGGUUCGGAAAGAAAGAUGUGAAAUCCCAGAGCUCAACUUUGGAACUGCAUUUUUAACUACCGGGCUAGAGUGUGUCAGAGGGAGGUGGAAUUCCGCGUGUAGCAGUGAAAUGCGUAGAUAUGCGGAGGAACACCGAUGGCGAAGGCAGCCUCCUGGGAUAACACUGACGCUCAUGCACGAAAGCGUGGGGAGCAAACAGG
rnacentral:rRNA from 1 species